GUAACAGGGUGAGCUGAGCAGGUCUAUGAGUGAGCUUCUAAAGCCAGACAGUUCACUGGAAUCACCCGGGAGCUUGGGUGGCUUAUGGUGCCUGGCUUCCAUCCUCAGUGAAUCAGGUUUAAGUGGUCUGGGGUGUGGCCUGAACUUCAGAGUUGUUAAAGCUUUCCAGGUGACCCCAGUAGUCAUUUGAGGUGGGAGCCACGGGGCUCUCGAGCCUCACCACUCAGCAUUAAUGGGCAUCAGCAGGGGUGGUCAGAGAUGCAGAUGCUGCGGCCACACCCUGACCGGAAUCUCUGCCCUUUUACAAGAUCCCCAGGGGUUCAUGGGUGCUGAACUUGGGGACGCUCAGGGCUAGACGCCUGAAGCCAGGUUAAGUGGUCAAAAUGAAUACCCUGGAGGAAGCAUGAGGAAGGGAUUUUGAGAAGCUGUGGUGCCCCUUGCACCCCGGUGCUGUGACAGAAAUUCCUAUUCCCAGGGUUGGCCCAGGUACACGUGGUUCCCCUGUACUAAUGAUUAGAUGGGCCCACUGCAGGCAGAGGAUGUGUGGAAAUUGCGAAAGUUCCCCCCUUCCUGCUUUAUUUGCUGCCGGAUCCCAGCCUGGAGCCCUGAGAACAGUUGGAUUUCCGAGGCCUCGGGCAUAGCUGAAUGGCCUCCCCCACCAGCCUACCCACCUCGCCCCAUUGUGGGAGGGUCCCUCCCUGGAGCUGCGGGGCAGGGCUGAUCAGCUAGAAGCUGGGCCCUGCCAGGGUUUCUCCUUCUGCAUUAUUGAUCUGCUGCCUGGCUGUGGACGUGAAUAAUUCAUCAGGGAGGAAGCAUGAGAAUGGCAAAUCCGAGGCAUCCGGGCUCCUCCCCGCCUCCAGCUCAGGGUUUACUCCACUCUGCUUAAUGGGCUUCCAUGGAGGCCCUGCUGAUUCUCCCGGUUCUCCUCCUGCUGGAUGCUGGAUGAGCUGUUUGGGGUGGCGGGGGCAGUCGGAGCACAGGAGUGUGGGGAACCCUGGAUGUGGGUGCAGGCCUGCCCUUUAAAAACAUGCCCCCAGAAUCCUCCAUGUCACCCAUCUGCCAACUGGAUGUCAACUCCCAGGACAACUUUGGAAGCUGGUCAUUGAAGACAGCAGAGAUGUGGCCCCUGGGUCCCUGGAUUACUACAUGGAGCAGAGCACCCCCUUCCCCAACUCCAAGCUACUGAUUGGGUUUAUGUGUAUUAUGCUACCUGAGAUUUCAGGAUUUAUGUACCUAAUUCAAUUUCUUUCCUUUUUUGCUACCCAUUUUACAGAUGGGAAAAUUGUUGUUAAGUUGCUAAGUCCAUGUCUGACUCUUUUGCCACCCCAUGGGCUGUGGCUUGCCAGGCUCCUCUGUCCAUGGGAUUUCCCAGACAAGGAUACUGGAGUGGGUUUCCAUUCCCUUCUCCAGGAGAUCUUCCUGACCCAAGUAUCAAACCCACGUCUCCUGCAUUGCAUUCUUUACUGCUGAGCCAUUAAGGAAGCCCUGGGAAAACUAGAUGAGCUACUUUAAGGUGUGGCAUACCAAGGGCUUCCCAGGCGGCACUAGUGGUAAAGAAUCUGCCUGCUAGUGUAGGAGACGAAAGAGACAGCGAUUCAAUCCCUCGGUCGGGAAGAUCCCCUGGAGUAGGAAAUGGCAACCCACUCGACUAUUCUUUCCUGGAAAAUUCCACGGACAGAGGAUCCUGGCAGGCUAUAUAUAGUCCACGGGGUCACAAAGAGUCAGACAUGACUGAGUAUGCACGCACACUACAUGCUACUUACCAGGGUAUUGGCUGAGUGGUCUAAGAAAUAUCAGGUUAAAAUUCAUUCACUGAACAAACAUGUGUUGGCCUACUAUGUGCCAGACACUGUGCUGAGUAUACCAUACUGAACAAAACCAACUAGAUCUCGGCCCUCAAGGGUUUUAUAGUCUAGUAUCUAGAGAGAUUGAACA
ensembl:lncRNA